rnacentral:rRNA from 1 species
GAUGAACGCUGGCGGUAUGCCUAACACAUGCAAGUCGAACGGAAUCUUCGGAUUUAGUGGCGGACGGGUGAGUAACGCGUGAGAAUCUGCCUUCAGGAUGGGGACAACAAUUGGAAACGAUUGCUAAUACCCGAUAUGACGAAAGUUGAAAGAUUUAUCGCCUGGAGAUGAGCUCGCGUCAGAUUAGCUAGAUGGUGUGGUAAAGGCGCACCAUGGCGACGAUCUGUAGCUGGUCUGAGAGGAUGAGCAGCCACACUGGGACUGAGACACGGCCCAGACUCCUACGGGAGGCAGCAGUGGGGAAUUUUCCGCAAUGGGCGCAAGCCUGACGGAGCAAUACCGCGUGAGGGAGGAAGGCUCUUGGGUCGUAAACCUCUUUUCUCAGGGAAGAACAAAAUGACGGUACCUGAGGAAUCAGCAUCGGCUAACUCCGUGCCAGCAGCCGCGGUAAUACGGAGGAUGCAAGCGUUAUCCGGAAUGAUUGGGCGUAAAGCGUCCGUAGGUGGUUAUGUAAGUCUGUGGUUAAAGCGUGGGGCUCAACCCCAUAACGGCCAUGGAAACUACAAGACUUGAGUGAAGUAUGGGUAGAGGGAAUUCCCAGUGUAGCGGUGAAAUGCGUAGAGAUUGGGAAGACACCGGUGGCGAAAGCGCUCUACUGGACUUAAACUGACACUGAGGGACGAAAGCUAGGGAGCGAAUGGGAUUAGAUACCCCUGUAGUCCUAGCCGUAAACGAUGGAUACUAGUGUGCCCG